rnacentral:rRNA from 1 species
UACGAAGGGGGCUAGCGUUGUUCGGAAUCACUGGGCGUAAAGGGUUCGUAGGCGGUGUGGCAAGUCGGGGAGUGAAAUCUCUGGGCUCAACUCAGAGACUGCUUCCGAAACUGCUGUGCUGGAGUGUGGGAGAGGCGCGUGGAAUUGCAGGUGUAGCGGUGAAAUGCGUAGAUAUCUGCAGGAACACCCGUGGCGAAAGCGGCGCGCUGGACCACUACUGACGCUGAGGAACGAAAGCUAGGGGAGCAAACAGG